GUGCUCACUUUGGCAGCUCAGAUUCUAACGUCAGAACAAUACAGACUCGAUUCACCUGCCCUUGCCAAGGAUGACAUGCACACUCAUGAACUGUUCCAAAUUUUC
ensembl:snRNA U6 U6 spliceosomal RNA